GACCACUCAAUUGGCCUAGUGGUUAGAGCGUCCGCUUCGGAUGCGGGUGGUCUCGAGUUCGAACCUCUGUCGAGUCA